rnacentral:tRNA from 12 species
UAUAACAAAUUAUUUAUUAUGGGGCGGACGUAGCCAAGUGGAUUAAGGC